UUGUUAGGGUUAAUGCUUUUUAGGUAUUACGGGAUAUUAUCAUGGUUUUAAAAAUGAAAAUUUGUGGGAGAAUGCCUUGAUUUCUCAAUUCUGGACGAACUGUGCAGGGGCAUUUUCGUCCAUUUAAAAUUGUUUCAGUUCCCUCAAAACUUAACCAUUUGAUCCGUCUUUUCGAGACGAAGAGUUUGGCGUAUGGUUCGUCUCGAGUGGACAAGAGUUAAAUUAGUUAUGGUCAUUUUAGUUUGAAAACUAUUUUGUCGAAAAU
rnacentral:lncRNA from 1 species